UACGAGGGGGGCGAGCGUUGUUCGGAAUUAUUGGGCGUAAAGGGUGCGUAGGCGGUUUUGUAAGUCUUAUGUGAAAUCUAUGGGCUCAACUCAUAGACUGCAUGAGAAACUGCAGGGCUUGAGUAUGGGAGAGGUGAGUGGAAUUCAUGGUGUAGCAGUGAAAUGCGUAGAUAUCAUGAGGAAUACCAGAGGCGAAGGCGGCUACCUGGACAAUUGCUGACGCUCAGGCACGAAAGCGUGGGGAGCAAACAGG
rnacentral:rRNA from 1 species